rnacentral:misc_RNA from 1 species
AAGUCGUAACAAGGUUUCCGUAGGUGAACCUGCGGAAGGAUCAUUAAAAAAUGUGGUACCAAUUAUUGGUACUAAUUAAUCAUCCUACCCUUUGUGAAUUUGUUUGUAUGAAUUUUUUUAAAUGGGUCUUUCCCUAAGUUGGAUUGUUUGUAAAAUACAAAAAGACUUAGGGGAAUGACUUUUUUAAAAGACUUUUUUUUAAUUAAAACUCUUUGUAUUCAUUUGUCUAAAAUUUAUUUUUAUAAUAUAAAAACAACUCUUGACAAUGGAUCUCUUGGUUCUCGCAACGAUGAAGAACGCAGCAAAAUGCGAUAAGUAGUGUGAAUUGCAGAAUACGUGAAUCAUCGAAUCUUCGAACGCAUAUUGCACUUUUUUAGUUUACUAAAGAAAGUAUGUCUGUUUGAGUAUCAGUAAAAUAUUCUCACAAAAACAAUUUGUUUUUUGUGGUUAUGAGUGUUUUACAACGAUAAACAAGUUGUUUCACUUUAAAUUCUUUUUAAUUGAAUUUUACCAAUUCAUAAAUUAAAAUUGGAUAAAAUUUUCCUUUAACGAGGAAUAACCUAAACAAUUUUAAAUUUUAUGGAUUAAUCAACAUUCAUCAAAGGAAUCUAUACAACAAAUAACUUGAUCUCAAAUCAGAUAAGAGUACCCGCUGAACUUAAGCAUAUCAAUAAGCGGAGGAAAAGAAACUAACAAGGAUUCCCUUAGUAACGGCGAGUGAAGCGGGAAGAGCUCAAAUUUGAAAUCUUCAAGGUUUGACCUUGACGAAUUGUAGUUUAUAGAAGUGUUUUCUGUUGGAGUUUUGGUAAAAGUUCUUUGGAAUAGGACAUCAUAGAGGGUGAGAAUCCCGUAUUUGACCAUGACUUUCCAGCUGUGUGAUACACUUUCAAAGAGUCGGAUUGUUUGGGAAUGCAGUCCAAAAUGGGUGGUAAAUUUCAUCUAAAGCUAAAUAUUGGCGAGAGACCGAUAGCGAACAAGUACCGUGAGGGAAAGAUGAAAAGAACUUUGAAAAGAGAGUUAAACAGUACGUGAAAUUGUCAAAAGGGAAGCGUUUGACACCAGUGUUGUUUUCUCGAAAAUCAAUUUAAUGAGUUCUUGUUUUUAAGUUAUUGUGACUUUAUCAGCGCAUUUCUUAUUUUACUUGACUCAUUGAAUGCACUUUUCGUUUAACAAGUCAACAUCAAUUUCUUUGGUGGUAAAAAGUUUAAAGGAAGGUGGCUUGGACUUCGGUUCAAGUGUUUAUAGCCUUUUUUCUAUGCCAUCGGAGAGAUUGAGGUCUGCAGCGUAGAUCCUUCGGGGUUAGAUACCUUUGUGCUAAGUUAUAGUUUUUUAUAGACAACUUGUUGACUAUAAUUAACCCUGUAAUUUACUCGCUUAGGCUAUUUUACCUACGCUUAGGAUGUUGA